rnacentral:rRNA from 1 species
AGUAAUGUAUGGGGAUCUGCCUGAUGGAGGGGGAUAACUAUGGAAACGGUAGCUAAUACCGCAUAACGUCGCAAGACCAAAGAGGGGGACCUUCGGGCCUCUUGCCAUCGGAUGUGCCCAGAUGGGAUUAGCUAGUAGGUGGGGUAAUGGCUCACCUAGGCGACGAUCCCUAGCUGGUCUGAGAGGAUGACCAGCCACACUGGAACUGAGACACGGUCCAG